ensembl:snRNA U2 U2 spliceosomal RNA
AUCACUUCUUGGCCUUUUAGAUAAGACUAAGUAUAGUAUCUUCUCUACUCACUUUAAUAUCUGAUACAUCCUCUCUUUGAGGACAAUAUAUUCAAUGAAUUUUUGAAUUUUUGGACAGGAAGUUGGAAUAGGAGUUUUCUCUGUCCACUCAACACAUCAACCUGGUAUAGCAGUACCUCCAGGAAUGGUGCACCAAAU